rnacentral:rRNA from 1 species
UACGUAGGGGGCUAGCGUUGUCCGGAAUCAUUGGGCGUAAAGCGCGUGUAGGCGGUCCGGUAAGUCCGCUGUGAAAGUCGGGGGCUCAACCCUCGGAUGCCGGUGGAUACUGUCGGGCUUGAGUACGGAAGAGGCGAGUGGAAUUCCUGGUGUAGCGGUGAAAUGCGCAGAUAUCAGGAGGAACACCAAUUGCGAAGGCAGCUCGCUGGGACGUUACUGACGCUGAGGAACGAAAGCUAGGGGAGCAAACGGG